AGAGUUUGAUCCUGGCUCAGAAUGAACGCUGGCGGCGUGCCUAACACAUGCAAGUCGGAUGUGCCGCAAGGUGCAUGGCAGACGGGUGAGUAACGCGUAGGGAAUCUACCUCUUUGUGGGGAAUAACGCUCCGAAAGGAGUGGUAAUACCGCAUGAGACCAUGAGCUGGGAUGCUUAUGGUGAAACCUGGGGACCGCAAGGCCUGGGGCAAGGAGAGGAUCCUGCGUCUGAUUAGCUAGUUGGCGGGGUAAUGGCCCACCAAGGCGACGAUCAGUAGCCGGCCUGAGAGGGUGAUCGGCCACACUGGAACUGAGACACGGUCCAGACUCCUACGGGAGGCAGCAGUGGGGAAUUUUGCGCAAUGGACGAAAGUCUGACGCAGCAACGCCGCGUGGGUGAUGAAGGUCUUCGGACUGUAAAACCCUGUCGUCAGGGACGAAGGUUGGGGGGUUAAUAACCCUUUAGCUUGACGGUACCUGGAGAGGAAGCCCCGGCUAACUCUGUGCCAGCAGCCGCGGUAAUACAGAGGGGGCAAGCGUUAUUCGGAAUUAUUGGGCGUAAAGGGCGCGUAGGCGGUUUUUUAAGUCAGAUGUGUAAUCCCCGAGCUCAACUUGGGAACUGCAUCUGAGACUGGAAGGCUAGAGUACUGGAGAGGGUGGUGGAAUUCCUCGUGUAGCGGUGAAAUGCGUAGAGAUGAGGAGGAACACCAGUGGCGAAGGCGGCCACCUGGACAGUAACUGACGCUGAGGCGCGAAAGUGUGGGUAGCAAACAGGAUUAGAUACCCUGGUAGUCCACGCUGUAAACGAUGAACACUUGGUGUGGAGGGAGUUGACCCCUUCCGUGCCGGAGCUAACGCGUUAAGUGUUCCGCCUGGGGAGUACGUUCGCAAGGCUGAAACUCAAUGAAUUGACGG
rnacentral:rRNA from 1 species